rnacentral:rRNA from 1 species
UACGAAGGGGGCUAGCGUUGCUCGGAAUCACUGGGCGUAAAGGGCGCGUAGGCGGCCAUUCAAGUCGGAGGUGAAAGCCCAGGGCUCAACCCUGGAAUUGCCUUCGAUACUGUCUGGCUAGAGACCGGAAGAGGUAAGUGGAACUGCGAGUGUAGAGGUGAAAUUCGUAGAUAUUCGGAAGAACACCAGUGGCGAAGGCGGCUCACUGGACUGGUAUUGACGCUGAGGUGCGAAAGCGUGGGGAGCAAACAGG